rnacentral:misc_RNA from 1 species
CAACCCUCAAGCGCCCCCAAGCUUGGUGUUGGGAUUUCCGGGGGCUACUUUUAGGCCCCGGGGUUCUGAAAAUCAGUGGCGGGCUCGCUAUAGCACCGGGCGUAGUAGGCUUUGUUCCUCGCCCUGGGCGUUGUGGCGGGUUCGGCCGUAAAAACCCUCCAGACAAGCCUCCCGUCGGCGGAUGGGAGCACACA